ensembl:lncRNA
AUGAUGGGAAGCAAUCUUUCAGACUGCCUACACUCUGUCGAUCCUGCCAAUGAAGAAAUGGGGAACCAAGUGGGGGCACCUUGGCUCAGCUAACAUCACACAUUGAUGUGGUGUUUGAAUGAAGAGGAGCCCUUAGAUCCUGACUUCCAAUAAACCUGACCACCUAUCAUGCCCAGUGCUGUUAAGCCUUUUUCUGGCUUGUUUUAAUAUUGUUGCUAUGGUGUAACUUAGGUUUACCUUCCCCAUUGCCAUUCAUCUCUGAACCAAGUUAAAAUACUUUACCAGAGUACAAUUUCACAGUGAAGAGGGAAAUUAAAUAACGGUAGAUGCCGACAGAAAAACAUGAACCCAAACCUAGUUUGGAACGGGCGCUUUAGACUCAUUACCCACAGACCCACACAUACCCCACAGCUCUGUGUAUCACAACACUUGCGUUGUUUCCAGGCAGGAUCAUUUUGUCUCUGUGUUAAGAAAGCCAGAACCGGGAACAGUGUGCACUGCAAUAGGGGACCUUGUCUGGGGCAAAUAUCCUCCCCCUUUGCCGUACACCUGGGGCUCAUUGAAACCUUGAUGGCGAAACCUCACUUCCACGUGGCUCCUUCUCCAUAGCAGCUGACUUGUGCUGAAAUCGAGUUUCUUGUUCUGCCGUUCCCAUACGAAUGUUGGCAAGAGGCAUUCAGGCCGCAGCACACCAGAGUCCCCCAGGGCCCCCGUCGAGGACAUAUGAGUAUCUAGACACACUCGGUUUCAGGCUGCCUGGCAGCAGCAGCACAAUCCCCCGGUGAGGGAUUUUUAAACAAGUUGGUGAUUUUCAGAUGACGGAUGCCAGCCACAGGAGUUUAAAGUGCUUCUGUGCAUCUUAGGCUGCCGGUGAAAUACCAAUUUCUCCUUUUUUUUAGAACAAUUAUUUCUUUUAUUUCUCCCCAGACGAGCCCUCAGACAUUUUUCUCCUUCCUUCUGAGGCUCCUCUUGGAAAGAGCCAGCACAGUAGAUCAUGCUGGGUGACUUCCCCAGAUACAGCUGCCGAACACAGGUGCAUUCUGGGGCUUGGGCGUCUGGAUUAGCCUCUGAUUUGCUGCAGGAAAAAUACUCACUGUAGUUUCCCUAUUCCCAAAUAUGGCUACUUUGAAGAUGGAUAUGAUAUAUUAAUUUUUGUGUUUUUACAGACUUAUGCUCUGCAGACAUAACAGCAUUUUUCCAAGAAAGGAAGAGAAAAAUGACUUCAGUUUCUGUACCUUAGGAACAGCGAGACAGGAUUUGUGGGUCUUCUUGUCUCUUAAAGGAGGCAACGGGGAUUCCUGAAAUGGAAAUAAAGAGCCUGCUGUUUGACCUGGAGCUCUGAAGACCCACUUUUAAACUAUAUGUGGUUGAUGGGGAAAGCAACAGGUGAAGCCCUGACACAGUGCUCGGCAAUUAGAACUCGGUAAAGAGGAGGCCCAAAGAGGUUAAG